GCCCCUGUAGCCCAAUGGAUAGGGCACUAGCCUCCGGCGCUAGGCGUACAGGUUCGACUCCUGUCAGGGGCA
rnacentral:tRNA from 1 species